CACUCCUACGGGAGGCAGCAGUGGGGAAUAUUGGACAAUGGGCGCAAGCCUGAUCCAGCCAUGCCGCGUGAGUGAUGAAGGCCCUAGGGUUGUAAAGCUCUUUCACCGGAGAAGAUAAUGACGGUAUCCGGAGAAGAAGCCCCGGCUAACUUCGUGCCAGCAGCCGCGGUAAUACGAAGGGGGCUAGCGUUGUUCGGAAUUACUGGGCGUAAAGCGCACGGAGGCGGAUCGAUCAGUCAGGGGUGAAAUCCCAGGGCUCAACCCUGGAACUGCCUUUGAUACUGUCGAUCUGGAGUAUGGAAGAGGUGAGUGGAAUUCCGAGUGUAGAGGUGAAAUUCGUAGAUAUUCGGAGGAACACCAGUGGCGAAGGCGGCUCACUGGUCCAUUACUGACGCUGAGGUGCGAAAGCGUGGGGAGCAAACAGGAUUAGAAACCCUUGUAGUCCCAUG
rnacentral:rRNA from 1 species